rnacentral:tRNA from 1 species
CGGGUGUAGCUCAGUUGGUAGAGCGUCAGCCUUCCAAGCUGAAUGUCGGGAGUUCGAGCCUCCUCG